CGUUCCUCUGAAAAAAAUCCUCUGAUGUAUUUCGCAUGCGCGAAAGUUUGGACCCGCUACGACAACGAUUGCGAUAUGUAUUGUGUGCAAUUAUAUUGCUGUUUUCAUAAAUAGACGUUAUCUGAAUAUAUUACAAAGCGAACCCAAAAAUAUUGAGUUAAAGUGAUCAUCAAAAGUGCUUCUCAGUUGUAAGGAGUUAACAGAGUUGUCAACAGAGCAAGCAAGAAGAGAAAUUACAAAGAAAGUACAAGUUAACAGAAUAAAGAAAAAUGUUUUAUGUUGUUCAUGCCGACACAUGGUUUCAAACAGUACCAGAAAUAUGGGUGGAUAAAAGUCACAAAAUUAUUUGUUGGCCAUAUGAAAAGAAAUCCGUUACCUCCAAAUGGAUAAAGAACCAAGUACCGUGCAAGCCAGAUUGGAGAGAACUCAAUUAUACAUGUUUGUUCGGACCAUUCGACAGUUAUGAAAGCAGCAUCAAUUUUGAAAAACAAUGUACAGGGUACUCGUCACAAGACGAAGUGUUGUACGAACAAUACAAAAGUCAUGAAAUACCAGAAAAGAGAAUUCGAAAAAAAAAUCCAAAGUAUGACACAGA